AUAGCAAACUAACUAAAGAAAUAUUAACUGGUACAAGACAGAGAAGAUUACUAUGGUCCCUGCACAAGAAUAACACACACAUUCAUUAAUUGCUGUGCAGCAGAUGUUU